UUCUCAGAUAGGACUACCUGAUUCCAGCCACCACAUCCGAGCUCCGGCGAGUAGGACAAAUGACGUAAAAGCAAGGGUCCAACAGCUGCCUUUUAGAGAAAAGUCUCUGAAAGGCCCAACAAGUCCCAACUGCAUCAUCUAAGAUGGGGUCACCUACCCUCAAAGGAGAUUAAGGUCAUAGUCUUCCUCCAGGGGGCGCGAAUUGGCCUAUCAAAUUUGGGAGUCCAAGAAAUCAUGGCGGAGUCAACACUGGGGCCAACCAGCACUCUCAACUACAUGCUCUCCGGAACCCCUGAAGCAGCAUGUUGGGAGAGACUCGCUUUCCCCGUGCUCUGAAGAUGGCAGUGACCACUGGAUCCUGUUGAGCCCCCAAGUGUCGCUCUUGGGAAAAUCUUGGAGUUCGGCCACCGUAGGAGGCAAAGUCAUCUUCUGCAGAAGGCCCAACGUAAAUGCUGACUCCUACCAGCCUGUGGAAGGAACUGCAUUUCAUCUGCUCAUCGUGGAGGGGCACAGCACUGGUGGGCUCUUUCGUGGCCUCACGACAUCACCACCGCCCACAGCUCAGGAUCUCAGGAGGAUGUGAACUACGGUGUAGAGAGGCCAGCAGUGAGUGCAUCGAGCCUGUCUUCCAACUCCUCUUCUCUUUAACCAAUGUGCUCUCGGCCCUGCCAGGCACCUGCAGAGGAACAUCCCACUAGCUGCUGCUAACCUGUGCCAGGGGUGCUGCUCUUCCUAGCCGGCAGGCAUCAUGUCAUGUGGUGUGGUUAUUGUUCACCUGUCUGGCAUGGCUCAGAGCCUGGCAUUUAAAAGGCAAUCUGUGUUUUCUGGAGAGCCCAGUGGAUCCAAUCAUCUUCAUGGCAUGCCUGGGCUGGACCCUAAGGGCUAUGGCAUUUUACAGUGUAGGUAACCAAAUGCCUUCCCUUCCCAAGAGAGGACAAGCAAGUACCUGCUUGGGUGUUUAUGAAAUGAUUUCCUCCUGCCCAGCACAUGCUGUGGUUAGAGGAACAUGGCCUAGAGCUAGAGGUCAUGGCUCGGCAGUAGAAAGCCUGUCCAGAAUCCCCCAGUGAGGGGUUGGGGUGGGCUCAAGAGCUAACAUAGGUGAGGCCCCAGGCUCCCCCUACAGUUAGAAAAUAAAGACAGCACCCUUGCUUGGA